UGCAAGUCGAGCGAACAGAUGAGAAGCUUGCUUCUCUGAUGUUAGCGGCGGACGGGUGAGUAACACGUGGGUAACCUACCUAUAAGACUGGGAUAACUCCGGGAAACCGGGGCUAAUACCGGAUAAUAUUUUGAACCGCAUGGUUCAAUAGUGAAAGACGGUUUCGGCUGUCACUUAUAGAUGGACCCGCGCCGUAUUAGCUAGUUGGUAAGGUAAUGGCUUACCAAGGCGACGAUACGUAGCCGACCUGAGAGGGUGAUCGGCCACACUGGAACUGAGACACGGUCCAGACUCCUACGGGAGGCAGCAGUAGGGAAUCUUCCGCAAUGGGCGAAAGCCUGACGGAGCAACGCCGCGUGAGUGAUGAAGGUCUUCGGAUCGUAAAACUCUGUUGUUAGGGAAGAACAAAUUUGUUAGUAACUGAACAAGUCUUGACGGUACCUAACCAGAAAGCCACGGCUAACUACGUGCCAGCAGCCGCGGUAAUACGUAGGUGGCAAGCGUUAUCCGGAAUUAUUGGGCGUAAAGCGCGCGUAGGCGGUUUCUUAAGUCUGAUGUGAAAGCCCACGGCUCAACCGUGGAGGGUCAUUGGAAACUGGGAAACUUGAGUGCAGAAGAGGAGAGUGGAAUUCCAUGUGUAGCGGUGAAAUGCGCAGAGAUAUGGAGGAACACCAGUGGCGAAGGCGGCUCUCUGGUCUGUAACUGACGCUGAUGUGCGAAAGCGUGGGGAUCAAACAGGAUUAGAUACCCUGGUAGUCCACGCCGUAAACGAUGAGUGCUAAGUGUUAGGGGGUUUCCGCCCCUUAGUGCUGCAGCUAACGCAUUAAGCACUCCGCCUGGGGAGUACGACCGCAAGGUUGAAACUCAAAGGAAUUGACGGGGACCCGCACAAGCGGUGGAGCAUGUGGUUUAAUUCGAAGCAACGCGAAGAACCUUACCAAAUCUUGACAUCCUUUGACCGCUCUAGAGAUAGAGUCUUCCCCUUCGGGGGACAAAGUGACAGGUGGUGCAUGGUUGUCGUCAGCUCGUGUCGUGAGAUGUUGGGUUAAGUCCCGCAACGAGCGCAACCCUUAAGCUUAGUUGCCAUCAUUAAGUUGGGCACUCUAGGUUGACUGCCGGUGACAAACCGGAGGAAGGUGGGGAUGACGUCAAAUCAUCAUGCCCCUUAUGAUUUGGGCUACACACGUGCUACAAUGGAUAAUACAAAGGGCAGCGAAUCCGCGAGGCCAAGCAAAUCCCAUAAAAUUAUUCUCAGUUCGGAUUGUAGUCUGCAACUCGACUACAUGAAGCUGGAAUCGCUAGUAAUCGUAGAUCAGCAUGCUACGGUGAAUACGUUCCCGGGUCUUGUACACACCGCCCGUCACACCACGAGAGUUUGUAACACCCGAAGCCGGUGGAGUAACCUUUUAGGAGCUAGCCC
rnacentral:rRNA from 1 species